GCUCCUAUAGCUCAGCUGGCAGAGCGCAAGACUGAAGGAAACCCUUCAAAGAUUUCAACAGUCAUUCUUGAGGUCACCUGUUCGAACCAGGUUGGGAGCA